GCGGGUGUCGUAUAACGGUUAUUAUGCGUCCUUGCCAAGGACGAGAAGGCGGUUCAAUUCCGCUCACCCGCU
rfam:Candidatus Buchananbacteria bacterium RIFCSPLOWO2_01_FTLL_40_23b rifcsplowo2_01_scaffold_5202, whole genome shotgun sequence.